CGACGCUGAAUAUUCUUCUGCUCUCACACUCGUAUACUAGUUGUGGUUGAGGCGCCUCGAUGGACAGCAUGAGAGAG
ensembl:ncRNA ZK632.16 ncRNA